rnacentral:rRNA from 1 species
GGGGAAUAUUGGACAAUGGGGGGGACCCUGAUCCAGCCAUGCCGCGUGUGUGAAGAAGGCCUUUUGGUUGUAAAGCACUUUAAGCGAGGAGGAGGCUACCGAGAUUAAUACUCUUGGAUAGUGGACGUUACUCGCAGAAUAAGCACCGGCUAACUCUGUGCCAGCAGCCGCGGUAAUACAGAGGGUGCAAGCGUUAAUCGGAUUUACUGGGCGUAAAGCGCGCGUAGGUGGCCAAUUAAGUCAAAUGUGAAAUCCCCGAGCUUAACUUGGGAAUUGCAUUCGAUACUGGUUGGCUAGAGUAUGGGAGAGGAUGGUAGAAUUCCAGGUGUAGCGGUGAAAUGCGUAGAGAUCUGGAGGAAUACCGAUGGCGAAGGCAGCCAUCUGGCCUAAUACUGACACUGAGGUGCGAAAGCAUGGGGAGCAAACAGGAUUAGAUACCCUGGUAGUCCAUGCCGUAAACGAUGUCUACUAGCCGUUGGGGCCUUUGAGGCUUUAGUGGCGCAGCUAACGCGAUAAGUAGACCGCCUGGGGAGUACGGUCGCAAGACUA